rnacentral:rRNA from 1 species
CGCGUGCUUACCAUGCAAGUCGAACGAUGAAGCUGGAGCUUGCUCCGGUGGAUUAGUGGCGAACGGGUGAGUAACACGUGAGAAAUCUGCCCUUGACUCUGGGAUAACUGCGGGAAACUGUAGCUAAUACCGGAUACUUUCCCUGGUGGGCAUCCACUGGGGAAGAAAGAAUUUCGGUCAAGGAUGAUCUCGCGGCCUAUCAGCUAGUUGGUGAGGUAACGGCUCACCAAGGCGACGACGGGUAGCCGGCCUGAGAGGGUGACCGGCCACACUGGGACUGAGACACGGCCCAGACUCCUACGGGAGGCAGCAGUGGGGAAUAUUGCACAAUGGGCGCAAGCCUGAUGCAGCAACGCCGCGUGAGGGAUGACGGCCUUCGGGUUGUAAACCUCUUUUAGCAGGGAAGAAGCGAAAGUGACGGUACCUGCAGAAAAAGCACCGGCUAACUACGUGCCAGCAGCCGCGGUAAUACGUAGGGUGCAAGCGUUGUCCGGAAUUAUUGGGCGUAAAGAGCUCGUAGGCGGUUUGUCACGUCUGCUGUGAAAAUCCAAGGCUCAACCUUGGACUUGCAGUGGGUACGGGCAGGCUAGAGUGCGGUAGGGGAGAUGGGAAUUCCUGGUGUAGCGGUGGAAUGCGCAGAUAUCAGGAGGAACACCAAUGGCGAAGGCACAUCUCUGGGCCGUAACUGACGCUGAGGAGCGAAAGCGUGGGGAGCGAACAGGAUUAGAUACCCUGGUAGUCCACGCCGUAAACGGUGGGUGCUAGCUGUGGGCCACAUUCC